GAUGAAGAACGUAGCGAAAUGCGAUAAGUAGUGUGAAUUGCAGAAUUCAGUGAAUCAUCGAAUCUUUGAACGCACAUUGCGCCCCAUGGUAUUCCGUGGGGCAUGCCUGUUCGAGCGUCAUUUACCCCCUCAAGCUCCGCUUGGUGUUGGGCGUCUGUCCCGCUUCGCGCGCGGACUCGCCCCAAAGGUAUUGGCAGCGGUCGUGCCAGCUUCUCGCGCAGCACAUUGCGCUUCUCGAGGCACCGGUGAGCCCGCGUCCAUCAAGCUCACCCCCCCAGUUUGACCUCGGAUCAGGUAGGGAUACCCGCUGAACUUAAGCAUAUCAAUAAGCGGAGGA
rnacentral:misc_RNA from 1 species